rnacentral:rRNA from 1 species
CACCAGCCCCUCGAGUGGUGGGGAUGAUUAUUUGGCCUAAAGCGUCCGUAGCCGGCCGGGUAAGUUUCCCGUUAAAUCCAGCGUCUAAAGCGUUGGACUGCGGGAAAUACUGCCUGGCUAGAGAGUGGGAGAGGUGUACGGUAUUCUGGGGGUAGGGGCGAAAUCCUUUGAUCCCCGGAGGACCACCAGUGGCGAAGGCUGUACACUAGAACACGUCUGACGGUCAGGGACGAAAGCUGGGGUAGCGAACCGGAUUAGAUACCCGGGUAGUCCCAGCUGUAAACGAUGCAUGCUAGGUGUUGGGUUGGCCACGAGCCACCCCAGUGCCGCAGGGAAGCCGUUAAGCAUGCCGCCUGGGAAGUACGAUCGCAAGAUUGAAACUUAAAGGAAUUGGCGGGGGAGCACCACCAGGCGUGGAGCCUGCGGUUU